GGCGAUGGUGUGGAGGAGGCGAUGGUGUGGUGGAGGUGAUGGUGUGGUGGUGGUGAUGGUGUGGAGGUGAUGGUGUGGAGGAGGUGAUGGUGCGGUGGUGGUGAUGGUGUGGAGGUGAUGGUGUGGAGGAGGCGAUGGUGUGGUGGAGGUGAUGGUGUGGUGGUGGUGAUGGUGUGGAGGUGAUGGUGUGGAGGAGGCAAUGGUGUGGAGG